rnacentral:rRNA from 1 species
UGGGGAAUCUUGCACAAUGGGCGAAAGCCUGAUGCAGCAACGCCGCGUGCGGGAAGACAGCCCUAGGGUUGUAAACCGCUUUCAGCAGGGAAGAAACUGACGGUACCUGCAGAAGAAGAUGCGGCCAACUACGUGCCAGCAGCCGCGGUGACACGUAGGCAUCAAGCGUUAUCCGGAUUUAUUGGGCGUAAAGAGCUCGUAGGCGGUUCGGUAAAGUCGGGUGUGAAAACUCUGGGCUCAACCCAGAGAGGCCACUCGAUACUGCUGUGACUAGAGUGCGGUAGGGGAGCGGGGGAAAUUCCUGGUGUAGCGGUGAAAUGCGCAGAUAUCAGGAGGAACACCAGUGGCGAAAGGCGCCGCUCUGGGCCGUAAACUGACGCUGAGGAGCGAAAAGCAUGGGUAGCAAACA